CACUACACUCCAAGAAAAUUUGGAUGCUAUUUCUCCACGGAAAGCAGAAAAAGGCAGCAAGAUGCCAGAAUCAACUAUUGAAAAAGUUCAAGAUGAAUCAAAGUUAAAGGAAUUAGAAAAAAAGAGCAAGAGUCCCACAUCCCCUAGUCUAUGGGAACUAUCCAUUGAUGCAAAUUCAAUUAGGGAGAAGUUUGAACCCCAAGAACCGAAGGUUGCUCUCCAAUGGUCUGCUCAAUCUAAGAUCUUAUCCCCACGAGUGUCAUAGACUUCACUAUCUUCUCCAUAUCCAUGCCUGAUGAAUGGAGGAAGAG
rnacentral:misc_RNA from 1 species